GAGUUUGAUCUUGGCUCAGAGCGAACGCUGGCGGCAGGCUUAACACAUGCAAGUCGAGCGCCGUAGCAAUACGGAGCGGCAGACGGGUGAGUAACACGUGGGAACGUGCCUUUUGGUUCGGAAUAACUCAGGGAAACUUGAGCUAAUACCGGAUAAGCCCUUCGGGGAAGAUUUAUCGCCGAAAGAUCGGCCCGCGUAAGAUUAGCUUGUUGGUGAGGUAACGGCUCACCAAGGCUACGAUCUUUAGCUGGUCUGAGAGGAUGAUCAGCCACAUUGGGACUGAGACACGGCCCAAACUCCUACGGGAGGCAGCAGUGGGGAAUAUUGGACAAUGGGCGCAAGCCUGAUCCAGCCAUGCCGCGUGAGUGAUGAAGGCCUUAGGGUUGUAAAGCUCUUUUAGCAGGGACGAUAAUGACGGUACCUGCAGAAAAAGCCCCGGCCAACUUCGUGACAGCAGCCGCCGCCGUAAC
rnacentral:rRNA from 1 species